CUGGUUCAAGAUUUAGGAAGUGUUUGUGUAAGAAAUAUGGAGAGUUUCAAAGAUGUGCGAGCCAGCCAGCAAUGUCCUUCAGCGUGCACUAGCGAGAAACAGCCAUGCAUUAACAGGCCCCCGACAGACACUAUAUUUAGUGAAGGAGACACAUUCCAGCACAUGUGCUGAUGGAUGGCACCAGGGUGACGAUGUGACUUUGAGGCGCCAAAUGUGUUGAGCCUGACGACCUGAGCCUGCCAAUGCAAUUCAUCCCUGACCUUGGGGGGCUCCCAGGUCCCGCCACUCCCUACCUUGACUGUAGUUGCUGAUGUAAUAAGGAGGAUUGGUGAAAGACUGUGAUACAGACAGGCAGCAGCUGAGCCCAAUGGAAGGAUUUAGCUGAUGUGGAGUGAUCCUAGGAAAACUAAUACAUGAUCUGAUUAAAUAUGUGCAUCUCUCCUUUUCGACA